rnacentral:tRNA from 1 species
GAGGGUAUAGCCCAGAGGUAGAGCAUGUGCUUAGCAUGCAGGAGGUCCUGGGUUCAAUCCCCAGCACCUCCA